UGGGGAAUUUUGGACAAUGGGGGAAACCCUGAUCCAGCCAUCCCGCGUGUGCAAUGAAGGCCUUCGGGUUGUAAAGCACUUUUGGCAGGAAAGAAACGUCAUGGGUUAAUACCCCGUGAAACUGACGGUACCUGCAGAAUAAGCACCGGCUAACUACGUGCCAGCAGCCGCGGUAAUACGUAGGGUGCAAGCGUUAAUCGGAAUUACUGGGCGUAAAGCGUGCGCAGGCGGUUCGGAAAGAAAGAUGUGAAAUCCCAGAGCUCAACUUUGGAACUGCAUUUUUAACUACCGGGCUAGAGUGUGUCAGAGGGAGGUGGAAUUCCGCGUGUAGCAGUGAAAUGCGUAGAUAUGCGGAGGAACACCGAUGGCGAAGGCAGCCUCCUGGGAUAACACUGACGCUCAUGCACGAAAGCGUGGGGAGCAAACAGG
rnacentral:rRNA from 1 species